GUGGGAUAUGGCGACAUGGCCCCGAAAACAUAUGCAGGAAUGUUUGUAGGGGCUUUAUGCGCUUUAGCAGGCGUCCUUACCAUUGCGCUGCCGGUGCCUGUGAUAGUUUCAAAU
rfam:Dendroctonus ponderosae Seq01013520, whole genome shotgun sequence.